rnacentral:rRNA from 1 species
UACAGAGGGGGCAAGCGUUAUUCGGAAUUAUUGGGCGUAAAGGGCGCGUAGGCGGCCUGGCAAGUGGAAGGUGAAAUCCCUCGGCUUAACCGAGGAACUGCCUCCCAAACUGCUUGGCUUGAGACCGGGAGAGGUGAGUGGAAUUCCCAGUGUAGCGGUGAAAUGCGUAGAUAUUGGGAGGAACACCAGUGGCGAAGGCGGCUCACUGGACCGGUGCUGACGCUGAUGCGCGAAAGCGUGGGGAGCAAACGGG